rnacentral:misc_RNA from 1 species
GAUGAAGAACGCAGCGAAAUGCGAUAAGUAAUGUGAAUUGCAGAAUUCAGUGAAUCAUCGAAUCUUUGAACGCACAUUGCGCCCGUCAGUAUUCUGGCGGGCGUGCCUGUUCGAGCGUCAUUACGCCCCUCAAGUCCCCUGUGGACUUGGUGUUGGGGAUCGGCGAGGCUGGUUUUCCAGCACAGCCGUCCCUUAAAUUAAUUGGCGGUCUCGCCGUGGCCCUCCUCUGCGCAGUAGUAAAACACUCGCAACAGGAGCCCGGCGCGGUCCACUGCCGUAAAACCCCCCAACUUUUUAUAGUUGACCUCGAAUCAGGUAGGACGACCCGCUGAACUUAAGCAUAUCAAUAAGCGGAGGA